rnacentral:misc_RNA from 1 species
UACAAGCUUAUAAGCAUUUAAAAUUGUAAUCAAUUACGUGUUUGGUUGUGUCACUAUCUAAAUUAUAGGCUGGACCGAUACUAGGACUGUCACACCCCGGCUUAGGGGGCCCCAGCUCAAGCCCCUCUAGUGAGCCUUCUUGCCAGCGUACCCUUCUAGAGGCCGGACCUGCGACUCACAAGGUACUGUCCGCUUUGUGGAAUUAAAUCCCUUCGCCCUGCAGAGCUAGGAUUCGAACCCAUAUCACCUCACGGUUU